UACGUAGGGAGCAAGCGUUGUCCGGAUUUACUGGGUGUAAAGGGUGCGUAGGCGGCUUGGCAAGUCGGGCGUGAAAGCUAUGGGCUUAACCCAUAAAUUGCGUUCGAAACUGUUGAGCUUGAGUGAAGUAGAGGUAGGCGGAAUUCCCGGUGUAGCGGUGAAAUGCGUAGAGAUCGGGAGGAACACCAGUGGCGAAGGCGGCCUACUGGGCUUUAACUGACGCUGAGGCACGAAAGUGUGGGUAGCAAACAGGAUUAGAUACC
rnacentral:rRNA from 1 species